rnacentral:RNase_P_RNA from 2 species
GGAGUUGACCGGGUAGUCGCUGCUUCAUUGAUGUCCCUUAGCUGAUUCAGCUGGGGAGACUGAUGGAGGGGAGGAAAGUCCGGGCUCUACAGAGCAGGGUGCCAGGUAACACCUGGGGGGCGUGAGCCCACGACAAGUGCAGCAGAGAGAAGACCGCCGAUGGUCAUCAGACCAGGUAAGGGUGAAAGGGUGCGGUAAGAGCGCACCGUGCGGCUGGCAACAGUUCGUAGCAAGGUAAACUCCACCCGGAGCAAGACCAAAUAGGCUUCCGUAUAGCGUUGCUCGCGUUGGGAAGCGGGUAGGUUGCUUGAGCCAGUGAGUGAUUGCUGGCCUAGACGAAUGGCUACUGCCGUCUCAGACGGUACAAAACCCGGCUUACAGGUUGACUCCAGCU